GGGGAUGGUCUGUGGCUCAGAGGCAGAGCGUUUGCUUUGUAUGCAGAAGGUCCCAGGUUCAAUCCCUGGCAUUUCCA